ACGAACGCUGGCGGCGUGCCUAAUACAUGCAAGUCGAGCGAAUCUUGAGGAGCUUGCUCCUUAAGGUUAGCGGCGGACGGGUGAGUAACACGUGGGCAACCUGCCUGUAAGACUGGGAUAACACCGGGAAACCGGUGCUAAUACCGGAUAAUUCUUCACCUCUCAUGAGGUGAAGUUGAAAGUCGGUUUCGGCUGACACUUACAGAUGGGCCCGCGGCGCAUUAGCUAGUUGGUGAGGUAACGGCUCACCAAGGCGACGAUGCGUAGCCGACCUGAGAGGGUGAUCGGCCACACUGGGACUGAGACACGGCCCAGACUCCUACGGGAGGCAGCAGUAGGGAAUCUUCCGCAAUGGACGAAAGUCUGACGGAGCAACGCCGCGUGAGUGAUGAAGGCCUUCGGGUCGUAAAACUCUGUUGUUAGGGAAGAACAAGUACCGGAGUAACUGCCGGUACCUUGACGGUACCUAACCAG
rnacentral:rRNA from 1 species